rnacentral:tRNA from 1 species
GGAGGUAUGGCUCAGUGGUAGAGCACAUGCUUAGCAUGCACGAGGUCCUGGGUUCAACCCCCAGUACCUCCA